GAAAUCCAAGAAAAAGGAUGACAAGAAAGAGAAAGAGGAAGGUGCUGAGAAGGAUGACAAGGAGGAGGAAAAGACUGAGGAAGAGCCAACCAAAGAGGAAGAAACUACCGAGGAAAAGGAAGCUCCUGAGGAGAACAAGGAAGAACCAAAGGAGGAGGAAGAGAAAAAGCCCGAAAACAUGGG
rnacentral:ribozyme from 1 species